rnacentral:rRNA from 1 species
GACGAACGCUGGCGGCGUGCUUAACACAUGCAAGUCGAACGGUAAGGCCCCAGCUUGCUGGGGUACACGAGUGGCGAACGGGUGAGUAACACGUGGGUGACCUGCCCCGCACUUCGGGAUAAGCCUGGGAAACUGGGUCUAAUACCGGAUAGGACCGCACCGUGAGGGUGUGGUGGAAAGUUUUUCGGUGUGGGAUGGGCCCGCGGCCUAUCAGCUUGUUGGUGGGGUAAUGGCCUACCAAGGCGGCGACGGGUAGCCGGCCUGAGAGGGUGGACGGCCACAUUGGGACUGAGACACGGCCCAGACUCCUACGGGAGGCAGCAGUGGGGAAUAUUGCACAAUGGGCGGAAGCCUGAUGCAGCGACGCCGCGUGGGGGAUGACGGCCUUCGGGUUGUAAACUCCUUUCACCAUCGACGAAGGUUUUCUGACGGUAGAUGGAGUAGAAGCACCGGCUAACUACGU